rnacentral:lncRNA from 1 species
GGAUCCGGCGCGAUCCACUCACUCAGACAAGGGAGCGAGGCACCAAGACCCACACGCACGGAGCAAGUCAGCUGGGGCAAGAGGCGAUGUGGAGUCGGUAGGCUUGCAGAGUCCCAGUCUGAUAACCGGGUUCAAGGGCUAGGGGGGCGCGGGGUCGGGCUGCCUUCUACCCUCCCUCGCCGCGGGGCGCGAGUCGAAAGGGCAUCUUACCAUACCGCGGGCGGGCAGUGCCCCCCGGCUGGCCAGCUGCUGUGCCCGGGGUUCUCCGGGGCCGCCUCCCCGCGCCCGCGCCAGGGGCCCCCGUCCUCCUCCGCCGCCGCCGCCGCCUCCUCCUCCUCCUCGGGCUGCAGCCGGCUCGGCGGGCAGGUCCCGGAGCUCCCGGCGCGGGGCCGGGGCCGGGGGCGGCUGCUCUCCGCCGCCGGCCGCUGCGCCCCCGCGGCGCUCCCCGGCAGGUGCGGGCUGCUGAGUCCCACGACCCAGCGUCUGCGGCAGCAUCGUGAGCGCCGCGAGCAGCGCCGAGUGCGAGCGCCGGGCCAGCCUCCGGGCGCACGGCGCCGCCACCAUCUUCGGAGCGCGGCGGGCGAGCGGGGCGCGGGGAACCCGGCGCGCUCCGGGCCGCCCCGCGCUCCCCGCGGCUCCCGCGGCCGCCGACUGCCGCUCGGGCUCCCGCUCCGGCCGCCGCCGCCGCCUCGGCUCGCCGCUGCUCCUCCUCCACCGCCGCCGCUGCUGCCGCCGCCGCCGCCGCCGCCGCCGCCUCCACCGCCGCGGCGCGGAGUUUUCAGACGGGCAGGGACCCGGACGUCACCAGGAGGAGGAGAAGGCGGGGAGGCGGGAGCGGGGAGGCCGCGGAGGGGGGCGCCGGGCGCGCGCUCGGGGACUGGGCGCGCAGGGAGGGGCAGGCGCCUAGCCCGCGCGGCGCCCCCUCCCCACACCCCUGUCCCCGCUGGAGGGGAGGGUGAUGGGGAAGGGGCCGGGGAAAACGCGGGCCGGGGCGGAGAGGGCGGGGCCUGGGGGCGGAGCCGAGAGAGGAAAAGGAGGAGGGAUAGGAAGGGGGUGGGGGCGAUCAGAGAAGACAGACACCCCUCAGGACGAAGUGGGAGUAGGACGGGGGGCGAGGGGGACAAUUCCCAAGGCGGAAGAAGAGAGGCGCGGCAGCAAAACAGGGGAGCUUUGGUUGAGGGUGGGCCCGCUCAGAAUCUAGAGGAGGUCAGGAAGAGAGGGGGUCCCGAGGUCCUGUUUUCCAUGUGGGCCGCUGGCAGGAGGCAGUGCCUAGAGGAAGCUCCUGGCCCCGGAGUUCGUGGUCCAGGGAUCUUCUGUCGAUACCAGACCGGUUGGCAGGUGGACACGUGA